UAGGGAAUAUUGGACAAUGGGCGAAAGCCUGAUCCAGCAACGCCGCGUGCGCGAUGACGGCCUUCGGGUUGUAAAGCGCUUUUAGAGGAGAUGAGAAAGGACAGUAUCCUCUGAAUAAGCCUCGGCGAACUACGUGCCAGCAGCCGCGGUAAAACGUAGGAGGCUAGCGUUAUCCGGAUUUAUUGGGCGUAAAGCGCGUGCAGGCGGUCUGGUAAGGUGGAUGUGAAAGCUCCUGGCUUAACUGGGAGAGGUCGUUCAAAACUGCUAGACUAGAGAAUGGGAGAGGGAGGUGGAAUGCCGGGUGUAGUGGUGAAAUGCGUAGAUAUCCGGAGGAACACCAGUGGCGAAAGCGGCCUCCUAGACCAUUUCUGACGCUAAGACGCGAAAGCUAGGGUAGCAAACG
rnacentral:rRNA from 1 species